rnacentral:rRNA from 1 species
CCUACGGGUUGCAGCAGUAGGGAAUCUUCGGCAAUGGACGAAAGUCUGACCGAGCAACGCCGCGUGAGUGGAGAAGGUUUUCGGAUCGUAAAACUCUGUUGGUAGAGAAGAACGUUGAUGAGAGUGGAAAGCUCAUCAAGUGACGGUAACUACCCAGAAAGGGACGGCUAACUACGUGCCAGCAGCCGCGGUAAUACGUAGGUCCCGAGCGUUGUCCGGAUUUAUUGGGCGUAAAGCGAGCGCAGGUGGUUUAUUAAGUCUGGUGUAAAAGGCAGUGGCUCAACCAUUGUAUGCAUUGGAAACUGGUAGACUUGAGUGCAGGAGAGGAGAGUGGAAUUCCAUGUGUAGCGGUGAAAUGCGUAGAUAUAUGGAGGAACACCGGUGGCGAAAG